GACGAACGCUGGCGGUGUGCUUAACACAUGCAAGUCGAGCGGUAAGGCCCUUUCGGGGGUACACGAGUGGCGAACGGGUGAGUAACACGUGAGUAACCUGCCCUCAUCUCUGGGAUAACAGUCGGAAACGGUUGCUAAUACUGGAUAUGAGCCUGCAAGGCCUCUUGUGGGUUGGAAAGAUUUUUUGGUUGGGGAUGGACUCGCGGCCUAUCAGCUUGUUGGUGAGGUAGUGGCUCACCAAGGCUUCGACGGGUAGCCGGCCUGAGAGGGCGACCGGCCACAUUGGGACUGAGAUACGGCCCAAACUCCUACGGGAGGCAGCAGUGGGGAAUAUUGCACAAUGGACGGAAGUCUGAUGCAGCAACGCCGCGUGCGGGAUGACGGCCUUCGGGUUGUAAACCGCUUUCAAUUGUGACGAAGCUUUUUGUGACGGUAGCAGUAGAAGAAGCACCGGCUAACUACGUG
rnacentral:rRNA from 1 species